CGGCACUGGAGAGGGAAUGGACUUAGCUUUUUUGUCUAUGACGAUGUGUUCCUUCAGUGGGCUGCUUCCAACUUCCUCCGCUGCUGGAUGCAUAACAUCAUCUUCCAUAGUAUAUUCCCCGGUCCUCUAUCUGCUCCAUGCUGUCUGCAGUAAGAAGAUACCGAGUCCCAUUUGGGUUCCGGCUUGUCUGAUCCAAAAACAGAAGUGGAUUUACGCCCCCUAUGAGCUCUUUCCUCAGCAAUCUUUUUCCCUUGUAUGAGAACAAGUGUCUCUUGCCUAGUCCAUCGCGAGUGUCUUGGUGUCUUACUUUUGCCUUCUUCAGUCAUUUUCUGCUGCUGUCCAUCAGCUAACGUUGCAGCGUUCUCAUUCAUCUCUGUUGAGCCUAAUGUACUCAUUGAAGUUUUUCUGCAAAGGCCAAUCAAUCAAGAAGACAAUAUAAAGAUCUUUGUGGAUAGUCUUUACAUUACUUGGUUCUUUUUUUUACCAAGUUGAUUGGUGAUUGACUUCCAAAGAGAGGCAUGUAUUCUUUCUUUAGGCAAUUGAAUCUUAAAGUCUUUUCUUAA